AUUGAACGCUGGCGGCAUGCCUUACACAUGCAAGUCGAACGGUAACAGGUCUUCGGAUGCUGACGAGUGGCGAACGGGUGAGUAAUACAUCGGAACGUGCCCGAUCGUGGGGGAUAACGAAGCGAAAGCUUUGCUAAUACCGCAUAAGAUCUACGGAUGAAAGCAGGGGACCGCAAGGCCUUGCGCGGACGGAGCGGCCGAUGGCAGAUUAGGUAGGUGGUGGGAUAAAAGCUUACCAAGCCGACGAUCUGUGGCUGGUCUGAGAGGGCGACCAGCCACACUGGGACUGAGACACGGCCCAGACUCCUACGGGAGGCAGCAGUGGGGAAUUUUGGACAAUGGGCGAAAGCCUGAUCCAGCCAUGCCGCGUGCAGGAUGAAGGCCUUCGGGUUGUAAACUGCUUUUGUACGGAACGAAAAGACUCUUUCUAAUAAAGAGGGUCCAUGACGGUACCGUAAGAAUAAGCACCGGCUAACUACGUGCCAGCCGCCGCCGUAAGAC
rnacentral:rRNA from 1 species